UUAUUCACAUCGUGCCGUAAGAGUUACCCAUGUUGCUUCCUGUGGUUGUUCACCCUCUGUGAUGGCCCCUGCCAUUAUGCCUGUGCUCCCGGUUCAUCUGUUUCACUGAGGAUGGAUGUUGGGGGUACUCCCUCUUGCGUCAGCUCCAGACACUGCUGCUGUGAAUGGCCAAGCACAUGUCUUUGUUGCUCACAGGAUGGGGCUGCAGAAUCCUGUGCUGCGCUGCACUGCGGAUGUCCUUGGAUGCUUUGGCAGAGCCCUCUGAGAGCUUCCCUUGCCUCACAUGCAUGAUGCUCUGUCUACCCUGUCCUUGUCAGCACUCCCAGUCGGGUUGUGUGUGUGGGAUGGAAUGGAGUAGGGCUGCAAUCUGGUGGCUACCUUCCUGGUGAGAAGUGAGAUUAGGCGCUGGCUCUAACGCUGACCGUCUUGGUGCUAGAUGGGAAAUGGGGCGGCCUGGCUCUAGCCCAUGCUGCUGCUGUUUGGGACCGUCAUUUACUGUGCAGAUGUUGGGGACUGGAGGUCCCCAUGGGUUUCCAGUGCAGCUGACUCUGGCAUGGUGGCUGACUUUCAUUUUUCUCUUCCGUUUAGAACAUGAGAAAGAAGGAAGGAGCAGCUGGGGCCCCAAGAACCAGGCCUGCCAGCGCAGGAGGGCUGAGCCUGCUGCCCCCUCCUCCAGGGGGCAAGAUGUCUACACUCAUCCCUCCCUCUGGAGAGCAGUUUUCUGGGGGCUCUCUGGUUCAGCCAGUUUCUGGUUCAGGUGAGUGCUGCAGUGACUGUCCAACCAUACCUGGCAGCUUUGCUUCCGGUAGUGGUGUGGCUUCCUUCUCACACUUGCUUUGUACCUGCGUGUGACCAGAUUGUGGCAGCAGAGAGCCUUGCACUCACUUGAGGUUCUUCUAUCCCUUGGCCUUUCUCCUUUCCCUUCAGGG
rnacentral:lncRNA from 1 species